rfam:Gossypium hirsutum cultivar TM-1 unplaced genomic scaffold scaffold1856.1, whole genome shotgun sequence
CACGUAAGAGCGAGAUGCUGACGUGAAAGGAAAUCGCUCCCUCAAGGACGCGAUUUCCUUCCACAUCAGCAUCUCGCACUUACGUGG